GGCAUUAUGGCCGAGUGGUUAAGGCGAUUGACUCGAAUUAUCAAUUGGGAUUUCCCGCGCAGGUUCAAAUCCUGCUGAUGUCG
rnacentral:tRNA from 1 species